rnacentral:rRNA from 1 species
CCCUUAGAUGUCCUGGGCUGCACGCGCGCUACACUGAUGUGUCCAGUAAGCACCUAACCUAUUCCGAGAGGAGCGGGUAACCUUAGCAAAGCACAUCGUGAUGGGGAUAGAUUAUUGCAAUUAUUAGUCUUGAACGAGGAAUUCCUAGUAAGCACAAGUCAUCAGCUUGUGUUGAUUACGUCCCUGCCCUUUGUACACACCGCCCGUCGCUACUACCGAUUGAACGGUUUAGUGAGGGCCUCGGAUUGGUCUCGGCCCGCUCUUUACCGGGCGGCGCCGUUGGUCGAGAAGACGCUCGAACUUGAUCGUUUAGAGGAAGUAAAAGUCGUAACA